rnacentral:rRNA from 1 species
GAUGAACGCUGGCGGCGUGCUUAAUACAUGCAAGUCGAGCGAACAGACGAGGAGCUUGCUCCUCUGACGUUAGCGGCGGACGGGUGAGUAACACGUGGAUAACCUACCUAUAAGACUGGGAUAACUUCGGGAAACCGGAGCUAAUACCGGAUAAUAUAUUGAACCGCAUGGUUCAAUAGUGAAAGACGGUUUUGCUGUCACUUAUAGAUGGAUCCGCGCCGCAUUAGCUAGUUGGUAAGGUAACGGCUUACCAAGGCAACGAUGCGUAGCCGACCUGAGAGGGUGAUCGGCCACACUGGAACUGAGACACGGUCCAGACUCCUACGGGAGGCAGCAGUAGGGAAUCUUCCGCAAUGGGCGAAAGCCUGACGGAGCAACGCCGCGUGAGUGAUGAAGGUCUUCGGAUCGUAAAACUCUGUUAUUAGGGAAGAACAAAUGUGUAAGUAACUAUGCACGUCUUGACGGUACCUAAUCAGAAAGCCACGGCUAACUACGU